ACGCGGCCCCGGGGAGCGGCGGGCGGGCGAAGCAAGUUCCUUAGUUUCUCCCAAGCCCGGGAACUGUUGGACGGGCGGGAGCGCCGGGCUACCUGGAAGGCGUCUCCGGGUUUCGCGAGCGCCACAGAGCUUUCCUGCAGCCGCUAAAUAAAUAAAUAACUACGGACGCUCGCCCCGCCCCGGCCCGCCCGUCCCCGCCCAUCCCCGCCCCGGCCAGCCCCGGCCAGCCCCGGCCAGCCCUGCCCAGCUCGGCUCAGCCCGGCUCAGCCCAGCUCCCUGGCCGCGGCGGCGGCGCAGCCAGGGCUGGGCGCUCGGGGAGCUCCGCGCGCGGGGCAGCUUCCCCGUGACCGGCGGCCGCGCAGCUCAGGGAACUCAGCUCCGUGAGGCUUCCGGGAGAGGGGAAAGGCUGUUCUUUGAUGCUCUUUGGUUUUACAGUGGAAAACUACAAUUAAAAAAACAUAGCCAUGAAAAUAAGUGAGAUUAGAACCUGCCGGCUUCACUUCCUGGAGGCUUUUUGUUGUGUCUUGAAACUAGGAUCUUUGCGGGUCAUCCCUGCUUUGAUCAAAAUCAACCAUUCCUUUCCAAAAUUCAGAAGCUUCCACAACAAGUUGAUACAUUUUAUCAUUUCCCAUGUCUGAAUUACUUCCUGUUGAGAACAUGAACUGGAUUAAUAGAAAUUCCUCAGGAAAAAAAAUUCAAACACCAAGGAUCUCACUUUGUGCUGUGAAAUGCAAGAUGAGCAAUCUGAUCUGGAUAUAAUAUCAGUCUUCAGUCAGGCAGCAGGUGAAUAUGCAGGUAGAAUUAUAAUGUGUAAGGCCGGGCGCGGUAGCUCACGUCUGUAAUCUGAGCACUUUGGGAGACCAACGGCAGGCGGAUCACUUGAGGUCAGGAGUUCGAGACUAGCAAGGCCAACAUGGUGAAACCUCGC